AACGAACGCUGGCGGCAGGCUUAACACAUGCAAGUCGAACGCAUCGCAAGAUGAGUGGCAGACGGGUGAGUAACGCGUGGGAACAUACCCAUCUCUACGGAAUAACGCAUGGAAACGUGUGCUAAUACCGUAUACGUCCUUCGGGAGAAAGAUUUAUCGGAGAUGGAUGAGCCCGCGUUGGAUUAGCUAGUUGGUGGGGUAAAGGCCUACCAAGGCGACGAUCCAUAGCUGGUCUGAGAGGAUGAUCAGCCACACUGGGACUGAGACACGGCCCAGACUCCUACGGGAGGCAGCAGUGGGGAAUAUUGGACAAUGGGCGCAAGCCUGAUCCAGCCAUGCCGCGUGAGUGAUGAAGGCCCUAGGGUUGUAAAGCUCUUUCACCGGUGAAGAUAAUGACGGUAACCGGAGAAGAAGCCCCGGCUAACUUCGUGCCAGCCGCCGCCGUAAAAC
rnacentral:rRNA from 1 species